rnacentral:rRNA from 1 species
UACGUAGGGACCGAGCGUUGUCCGGAAUCAUUGGGCGUAAAGAGCGUGUAGGCGGCCACUUAAGUACUGCGUGAAAUCUUGCGGCUCAACCGCAAGCGGUCGUGGGAAACUGGGUGGCUAGAGUGCGGGAGAGGAGAGUGGAAUUCCUGGUGUAGCGGUGGAAUGCGCGAUAUCAGGAAGAACACCCGUGGCGAAGGCGGCUCUCUGGAACGCAACUGACGCUGAGCACGC